rnacentral:rRNA from 1 species
CACGUAGGGGGCAAGCGUUGUCCGGAUUUAUUGGGCGUAAAGAGCUCGUAGGUGGUUCGGUAAGUCGGGUGUUAAACCCCCAGGCUCAACCUGGGGACGCCACUCGAUACUGCUGUGACUAGAGUCCGGUAGGGGAGCGUGGAAUUCCUGGUGUAGCGGUGAAAUGCGCAGAUAUCGGGAGGAACACCAGUGGCGAAGGCGGCUAACUGGUCCGAUACUGACGCUGAGGUGCGAAAGCGUGGGGAGCAAACAGG